GACAGAGGGUGCGAACGUUGCUCGGAAUUACUGGGCGUAAAGCGCGUGUAGGUGGGUCGAUAAGUCGGGCGUGAAAUCCCUGGGCUCAACCCGGGAACUGCGCUCGAAACUGCCGAUCUUGAGUGCCGGAGAGGGUGGCGGAAUUCCUGGUGUAGAGGUGAAAUUCGUAGAUAUCGAGGAGGAACACCGGUGGCGAAGGCGGCCACCUGGACGGCUACUGACACUGAGACGCGAAAGCGUGGGGAGCAAACAGG
rnacentral:rRNA from 1 species